rnacentral:rRNA from 1 species
CUACGUGCCAGCAGCCGCGGUAAUACGUAGGGCGCGAGCGUUGUCCGGAAUUAUUGGGCGUAAAGAGCUUGUAGGCGGUUUGUCGCGUCUGCUGUGAAAGGCCGGGGCUUAACCCCGUGUAUUGCAGUGGGUACGGGCAGACUAGAGUGCAGUAGGGGAGACUGGAAUUCCUGGUGUAGCGGUGGAAUGCGCAGAUAUCAGGAGGAACACCGAUGGCGAAGGCAGGUCUCUGGGCUGUAACUGACGCUGAGAAGCGAAAGCAUGGGGAGCAAACAGGAUUAGAUACCCUGGUAGUCCAUGCCGUAAACGUUGGGCACUAGGUGUGGGGGACAUUCCACGUUUUCCGCGCCGUAGCUAACGCAUUAAGUGCCCCGCCUGGGGAGUACGGCCGCAAGGCUAAAACUCAAAGAAAUUGACGGGGGCCCGCACAAGCGGCGGAGCAUGCGGAUUAAUUCGAUGCAACGCGAAGAACCUUACCAAGGCUUGACAU